GAUGAACGCUGGCGGCGUGCCUAAUACAUGCAAGUCGAGCGAACGGACGAGAAGCUUGCUUCUCUGAUGUUAGCGGCGGACGGGUGAGUAACACGUGGAUAACCUACCUAUAAGACUGGGAUAACUUCGGGAAACCGGAGCUAAUACCGGAUGAUAUUUUGAACCGCAUGGUUCAAAAGUGAAAGACGGUCUUGCUGUCACUUAUAGAUGGAUCCGCGCUGCAUUAGCUAGUUGGUAAGGUAACGGCUUACCAAGGCAACGAUGCAUAGCCGACCUGAGAGGGUGAUCGGCCACACUGGAACUGAGACACGGUCCAGACUCCUACGGGAGGCAGCAGUAGGGAAUCUUCCGCAAUGGGCGAAAGCCUGACGGAGCAACGCCGCGUGAGUGAUGAAGGUCUUCGGAUCGUAAAACUCUGUUAUUAGGGAAGAACAUAUGUGUUAGUAACUGUGCACAUCUUGACGGUACCUAAUCAGAAAGCCACGGCUAACUACGUG
rnacentral:rRNA from 1 species